UCCUGGCUCAGGAUGAACGCUAGCGGGAAGGCCUAACACAUGCAAGCCGAGCGGUAGAGAUUCUUCGGAAUCUUGAGAGCGGCGUACGGGUGCGGAACACGUGUGCAACCUACCUUUAUCUGGAGGAUAGCCUUUCGAAAGGAAGAUUAAUACUCCAUAAUAUAUUUGAUGGCAUCAUUAAAUAUUGAAAGCUCCGGCGGAUAGAGAUGGGCACGCGCAAGAUUAGCUAGUUGGUGAGGUAACGGCUCACCAAGGCAAUGAUCUUUAGGGGCCUGAGAGGGUGAUCCCCACACUGGUACUGAGACACGGACCAGACUCCUACGGGAGGCAGCAGUGAGGAAUAUUGGUCAAUGGGUGCAAGCCUGAACCAGCCAUCCCGCGUGAAGGACGACUGCCUAUGGGUUGUAAACUUCUUUUGUAUAGGGAUAAACCUACUCUCGUGAGAGUAGCUGAAGGUACUAUACGAAUAAGCACCGGCUAACUCCGUG
rnacentral:rRNA from 1 species